CCUACGGGAGGCUGCAGUGGGGAAUAUUGCACAAUGGGGGAAAGCCUGAAGCAGCGACGCCGCGUGAGUGAAGAAGGAUUUCGGUAUGGAAAGCUCUAUCAGCAGGGAAGAAAAUGACGGUACCUGACUAAGAAGCCCAGGCUAACUCCGUGCCAGCAGCCGCGUUAAUACGUAGGGGGCAAGCGUUAUCCGGAUUUACUGGGUGUAAAGGGAGCGUAGACGGCCAGACAAGUCAGAAGUGAAAGCCCACGGCUCAACCCUGGGACUGCUUUUGAAACUGCCGGGCUGGAGUGCAGGAGAGGUAAGCGGAAUUCCUAGUGUAGCGGUGAAAUGCGUAGAUAUUAGGAAGAACACCAGUGGCGAAGGCGGCUUACUGGACUGUAACUGACGUUGAGGCUCGAAAGCGUGGGUAGCAAACAGGAUUAGAUACCCUUGUAGUC
rnacentral:rRNA from 1 species